rnacentral:rRNA from 1 species
GAUGAACGCUGGCGGCGUGCCUAAUACAUGCCAGUCGAGCGAACAGACGAGGAGCUUGCUCCUCUGACGUUAGCGGCGGACGGGUGAGUAACACGUGGAUAACCUACCUAUAAGACUGGGAUAACUUCGGGAAACCGGAGCUAAUACCGGAUAAUAUAUUGAACCGCAUGGUUCAAUAGUGAAAGACGGUUUUGCAGUCACUUAUAGAUGGAUCCGCGCCGCAUUAGCUAGUUGGUAAGGGAACGGCUUACCAAGGCAACGAUGCCUAGCCGCCCUGAGGGGGUGAACGGCCCCCCUGGAACUUACACACGGGCCAGACACCCACGGGGGGGAGCAAGAGGGAAACCUCCGCAAAGGGGGAAAGCCCUACGGAGCAACGCCGCGGUAGUGAUUAAGGGCUUCCGAUCGGAAAACUCUUUUUUUUGGGGAAAAAAAAUGUGUAAAUUACUUUUCACAGCUUUACGGGACCUAAAUAAAAAGCCCCCGCUAACUUCGUG